rnacentral:rRNA from 1 species
CGGGUGAGUAACGCGUGGGUAACCUACCUCAUACAGGGGGAUAACAGUUAGAAAUGACUGCUAAUACCGCAUAAGCGCACAGGACCGCAUGGUCCGGUGUGAAAAACUCCGGUGGUAUGAGAUGGACCCGCGUCUGAUUAGCUGGUUGGCGGGGUAACGGCCCACCAAGGCGACGAUCAGUAGCCGACCUGAGAGGGUGGCCGGCCACAUUGGGACUGAGACACGGCCCAAACUCCUACGGGAGGCAGCAGUGGGGAAUAUUGCACAAUGGGGGAAACCCUGAUGCAGCAACGCCGCGUGAGUGAAGAAGUAUUUCGGUAUGUAAAGCUCUAUCAGCAGGGAAGAAAAAAGACGGUACCUGACUAAGAAGCCCCGGCUAACUACGUGCCAGCAGCCGCGGUAAUACGUAGGGGGCAAGCGUUAUCCGGAUUUACUGGGUGUAAAGGGAGCGUAGACGGCAUAGCAAGUCUGAAGUGAAAGCCCGUGGCUCAACCGCGGAACUGCUUUGGAAACUGUUAAGCUGGAGUACUGGAGAGGCAAGCGGAAUUCCUAGUGUAGCGGUGAAAUGCGUAGAUAUUAGGAGGAACACCAGUGGCGAAGGCGGCUUGCUGGACAGAGACUGACGUUGAGGCUCGAAAGCGUGGGGAGCAAACAGGAUUAGAUACCCUGGUAGUCCACGCGGUAAACGAUGAAUGCUAGGUGUUGGCGGGCAAAGCCCGUCGGUGCCGCCGCAAACGCAUUAAGCAUUCCACCUGGGGAGUACGUUCGCAA